UACAGAGGGUGCAAGCGUUGUUCGGAAUUAUUGGGCGUAAAGCGCGUGUAGGCGGCAUUGCAAGUCGGGUGUGAAAGCCCUCGGCUCAACCAUGGACGUGCAUUCGAAACUGCGAGGCUUGAGUAUGGAAGAGGGUCGCGGAAUUCCCGGUGUAGAGGUGAAAUUCGUAGAUAUCGGGAGGAACACCCGUGGCGAAGGCGGCUCUCUGGGACGGUACUGACGCUGAGACGCGAAAGCGUGGGGAGCGAACAGG
rnacentral:rRNA from 1 species